UACGGGGGGAGCAAGCGUUGUUCGGAUUUACUGGGCGUAAAGGGCGCGUAGGCGGCCAGCAGAGGUCAGUUGGGAAAUCUCCGGGCUUAACUCGGAACGGUCAGCUGAUACUGCUUUGCUAGAGUGCAGAAGGGGCAAUCGGAAUUCUUGGUGUAGCGGUGAAAUGCGUAGAUAUCAAGAGGAACACCUGAGGUGAAGACGGGUUGCUGGGCUGACACUGACGCUGAGGCGCGAAAGCUAGGGUAGCAAACGGG
rnacentral:rRNA from 1 species